rnacentral:rRNA from 1 species
GAUGAACGCUGGCGGCGUGCCUAAUACAUGCAAGUCGAGCGAAGCGGGGACGGGUGAGUAACACGUGGAUAACCUCCUAUAAGACUGGGAUAACUUCGGGAAAACGGAGCUAAACCGGAUAAUUAUAGAUGGAUCCGCGCUGCAUUCGCUAGUUUGUAAGGUAACGGCUUACAAAGGCAACGAUGCAUAGCCGACCUACGAGUGGGAUCGGCCACACUGGAACGGAGACACGGUCCAGACUCCGACGGGAGGCAGCAGUAAGGAAUCUUCCGCAAUGGGAGAAAGACUGACGGAGCAACGCCGCGUGAGUGAUGAAGGUCUUCGGAUCGUAAAACUCUGUUAUUAGGGAAGCGGUACCUAAUCAGAAAGCCACGGCUAACUACGUGCCAGCAGCCGCGGUAAUUC